UACGUAGGGGGCAAGCGUUGUCCGGAUUUAUUGGGCGUAAAGAGCGUGUAGGCGGCCAUACAGGUCAGCUGUGAAAACUCGAGGCUCAACCUCGAGACGUCGGUUGAAACCGUAUGGCUAGAGUCCGGAAGAGGAGAGUGGAAUUCCCGGUGUAGCGGUGAAAUGCGCAGAUAUCGGGAAGAACACCCGUGGCGAAGGCGGCUCUCUGGGACGGUACUGACGCUGAGACACGAAAGCCAGGGGAGCGAACGGG
rnacentral:rRNA from 1 species